rnacentral:misc_RNA from 1 species
GUGAAUCAUCGAAUCUUUGAACGCAAAUUGCGCUCGAGGCCUCGGCCAAGAGCAUGUCUGUCUCAGCGUCGGCUUACCCCUCUCACUCCCCACUCUUUGUCACCAAAGAGCUGGGGUAGUGGAUCUGGCCGUCCCGGUGUACAGCCGGGUCGACCGAAGCACAGAGGCUUGUGCUUGGAUCCCUUAAAGGGCAACAGCUUGGUAGGUGGCUUAUGCUGCAUGCCGCUGGAGCCUUGGAGUCCAAGCCUGUGGCCGGCAGGAAACCAUUCAAUCAUUCGACCUGAGAUCAGGCAAGAACAC